rnacentral:tRNA from 1 species
ACCUGCUGGCUCAGUUGGUAGAGCAUCUGACUCUUGAUCUCAGGGUUGUGGGUUCAAACUCCAUGUUAGGUG